rnacentral:RNase_P_RNA from 4 species
UGCAAGUAUCGGGUAAUUGCGCGUUAUAUUUCUAACGUGAGGAAGGUCCAUGCUCGUACACUCUGAGAUGGGUGUAGUGUUUGUGCUGGGAUAAAAAAUAAACCCAGGAACAGUGAUGUUACGGCAGUCGAAAGGGCUAAGGCUUAGGCUAUGUCUGAAUAGGCUCGAAGGUGCCAUAGAAACGUAUAUGCUAGUGAAAGCUAGUAUUUGAGACGAGGUAAACCCCACAAACGGGCAACCCAAACUUUUGGUAGGGGCGGCUGGCCUAGUGAAAUGAAGCGAUGGUCGGUAUGGUUCGUUUGAACGAACUUAGAUAGAUGAUUACCGAAGGUGUAAUGUUACCUGCAUUACACUGGAACAAAACAUGGCCUAUAGAUACUUGUAACAG